rnacentral:rRNA from 1 species
UACGUAGGGGGCAAGCGUUGUCCGGAUUUAUUGGGCGUAAAGAGCGUGUAGGCGGUCAGGUAGGUCCGCUGUGAAAACUCGAGGCUCAACCUCGAGACGCCGAUGGAAACCAUCUGACUAGAGUCCGGAAGAGGAGAGUGGAAUUCCUGGUGUAGCGGUGAAAUGCGCAGAUAUCGGAAGGAACAUCAGUGGCGAAAGCGGCUUCCUGGUCCAGCACCGACGUUCAGGCACGAAAGCGUGGGGAGCAAACAGG